rnacentral:tmRNA from 1 species
GGGGCUGAUUCUGGAUUCGACGGGAUUCGCGAAACCCAAGGUGCAUGCCGAGGUGCGGUAGGCCUCGUUAAAAAGCCGCAAAAAAAUAGUCGCAAACGACGAAAACUACGCACUAGCAGCUUAAUAACCUGCUUAGAGCCCUCUCUCCCUAGCCUCCGCUCUUAGGACGGGGAUCAAGAGAGGUCAAACCCAAAAGAGAUCGCGUGGAUGCCCUGCCUGGGGUUGAAGCGUUAAAACUAAUCAGGCUAGUUUGUCAGUGGCGUGUCCGUUCGCAGCUGGCUGGCGAAUGUAAAAACUGGACUAAGCAUGUAGUACCGAGGAUGUAGGAAUUUCGGACGCGGGUUCAACUCCCGCCAGCUCCACCA